AAAAAAAAAAAAAUCCAAAUACAAACAUUCGUAGAAAUUUUCGGGGGUCAGUAAGAAAAUUCAAAAGGAACGCGAAUUGGAGGCGCGGUAAAACCUCUACUCUGGGCUCUUUCUGAUUUAGGAGACUAAAUCCUCCUUUACCUGGAACUCUGCGAAUCACCACGAACCUGUAAAUAAAACCAUCACGUUUUUCUGUAAAUACUUGUACAUAGUAUCGUUUAGUUUCGUUAUCAUUGUUCGAUCUGAAUCCUUUUGCUUAGUAAAGAUUUUUGAUCGUUUCUGCGUGUUUGCUGCAGCAGAAAUUCGUUGAGAGAAGCAAGUUUGAAAUAUUGGUCGGUGACUUUGUCACAUCUUGGUGACGCAACUUUGAUCACCAUUUGCCAGAAUUCGCUGGUGUUACUUUUGGUUAGAAUAAGUAUCUUCGUCUUGUACUAUGUGCACUACUUCUGGUGUGCCUAUAGGGCCACGCAACUAAGUUAGUUAAUAAGUAUUUUGAGUUUAGCUCAAGCCUUCUGAUCAAUAAUAGCUCCGACCAAUUUCAAAGAAAGUUGUAAUUUUUUUCAUGAGCCGCCUUACACCGUCUCAUGAAAAAAAUUUUCUGUUGUGGCAGUGCUGUGUAACAAUUAUAUUUAAACUUGGUUUAUUUAAUCACCUAAACCAAUUCGGAACCAAAAUCAUGUUCAAACAAAUUGCAAACAAUCAAACAUCAAGAAUUUGUCGAGUUAUUUUCUCCGUGUACCAAAUAUGAGAUAAGCAAUCCUAACGAAGACCCACCCUGUCAUCGUCAAAUCGCCAAGAAAAUUUGACACUCAAGCUAGAAAACGUCAAACGUAAACCACCAACUAGACUUCCGUUCAAAGUGUGCUCAGUUGUGCAAGCUGUAAGAACAGCAAAAAAGUAAGCUGCUGCUAAAUUUGUUUGCCCCUGUCGUUGGGAAACACGGCCACGGUUUUUGGAACGGCAAAACAUCACCAGCAGCAACUUGCGCACACGCUUUUCAGAAAAAGCAAAAAGCACCAGCAGCAACUUUGUGCACACGCUAAAGAAAAUCACCGUUGGGAAAUACGGCCACGGUCUUCUAGAACGGCAACACAGCAGAAGCAGCAAAUUUGCGCACACGCUAAACCAAACGGAAAGCCACGCUAAACAAGAAACCGGACCAGACCAUCAGACCAUAAAAGAACCCCUCUGAAAAGGGGUUCUUGUUACUUGAUUCGGAUCUUGAUUCUUGCAUUCUUGAAUCUUGGUUCUUGUUUCGGGUCCCUCGGUCCUUGUUCUUGUUUCUUCUUUUCAUCUAGCUUGAGCUCGUCACAGCACGGAAGGCGGAUAACGAUUCGGAUUCACACAUCCCGAAUAUUCGACAACUCGAAGGACGUCCGGUUCAUCGCGUUUGCUAACGUGAUUUUGGAGCUGAAAGACGGUGGGCACGAUCGAAUUGCUAUUGUGUUGCUCAUCCAGGAGGUUUUGCGACUACGGGGUGCGGUGCACCGAUCAGCUGAAGUGACGCCAAAUCGAGAGCAGCCGGGAAAUCAUCCGGGAAUCGGUGUCAAUCGCCGAAUCACGGAAUUUUGCAACCCGAAUCGUCAAACAUCAUCAGUGGUGACAUCUGGUGACAGGAAUUGGAAGCGAACAAGACGAAGGAGUCUGCGACAGCGAAAAGCAGUCGUUUUUUUCCGUGAGCCACCGGGGUGUGUCCAAAAAUUAUCCAUUACAAGAUUCGGAACUCUAGCGAAAAUGGACGGACAAAAUCAAAAAGCGCCACCAUCAAAUGCUGCGGCAGAAAUGCAACUAUUUAGUAAAACACGCUAAGGAAAAAAAAACUAUUUAUAUUACACGGUCGGAAAUAACUAGCAGUUUGAGGGUUCAUUUGCACGACAAACACACUGAGAUCUUUCUCGGCGUGGUCUUGGCUCUCCAGAAUUAGCACGGUUUUUCGGUAUUAGAGUCUUCCCAAGCAACCAAAAGUCCCAUAAAACGGGUACAAACACGCUUACUCAGCCCCAUCAUUGAUAUGAAAUACGUUCUAUGCAGCUCAAAAUUUAAGUUCUUAUUGAUACUUUCAAGUUCCAAAACAAGUCUUAAUGAUCUUCUAUUCAGCUUCCAGCGGCCUCUUAAUUCAGCUUCCGAAAAAUCGCAAAAUGAGCAAAAAAUCUCUCUCUAUCUCAACUGAACCGUUGGCUUCGGUUCAUAGCACCUUCUCUUGAUUAUUUACUGUGUUCUGUACCGGUGCUGCCAUGAUGCCACGCGCCGGAUUUCAAACUCGACAAAUUGCUCAAUUGCUUCUUUCCUACAUUUCCUACAUAUAUCGCAUCAGAAAGGUCACUCAAGUACAAAAUUACUCAUUGAAAAAAACUUGCCCGGCUUGGGGAUCGAACCCCGACCUUCGUGGUGAGAAUCGAACACGCUACCACGAGACCACGCCUAGAUGUUGUUCUAACUGAAACUAAAACUCGAAGAGGUGAUUUGAUUUUGAAAGCACAUCAAUGCACUUUUUGUGACUUAUCAAUACCCGUUUGAGCACUUUUGUGCCUUUUAUGUGACUUACCAAAUCCCGUUUCGAGCACUUUUGUGCCCUUUAUGUGACUUAAGUCCCGUAUAACGUACGUAUAGAUCACUUUUGCAGCUUUCAAGUUCGUUAAUGAGUACAUAUAGUUCACUAAUGGGAAUUGGGCAAAACAAGUCACAAACAACGUUCAUAUUAAUCACUUUUGCAACUUUCAAGUUCAUUAUUGAGUACAUAAAGUUCACUAAAGGGAAUUGGGCAGUUGAUUCUCUUUGUCAGCCAAUAUGUAACUUUCAAUGCCUUCAUUUAAGUAAAUAUGUGACUUUUGGUUGCUUGGGUUCAAUCGCUAUUCAAAGCUUUUUUUCCUUGAGCUAUUCAGAUACAGCUUGAACAGAAAAAUGAGAUUUUAAACCUCUUCCUCUC